AGCAGCCGCGGUAAUUCCAGCUCCAAUAACGUAUAUUAAAGUUGUUGCAGUUAAAAAGACUCGUAGUUGAAUUUCGGGGUCAGUAGGUUGGUCAUGCCACUGGUAUGUACUGGUCUCACUGAUUCCUCCUUCCUGAUGAACUGUAAUGCCAUUAAUUUGGUGUUACAGGGAAUCUGGACUGUUACUUUGAAAAAAUUAGAGUGUUUAAAGCAGGCUAACGCCUGAAUACAUUAGCAUGGAAUAAUGAAAUAGGACGUUCGAUCCUAUUUUGUUGGUUUCUAGGAUUGACGUAAUGAUUAAUAGGGAUAGUUGGGGGCAUUAGUAUUCAAUUGUCAGAGGUGAAAUUCUUGGAUUUAUUGAAGACUAACUACUGCGAAAGCAUUUGCCAAGGAUGUUUUCAUUAAUCAAGAACGAAAGUUAGGGGAUCGAAGACGAUCAGAUAUCGUCGUAGUACUUAACCAUAAACUAUGCCGACUAGGGAUCGGAUGAUGUUUAAAUUUUUAAUGUACUCACUUCGGCC
rnacentral:rRNA from 1 species